rnacentral:tRNA from 1 species
UCCCGCGUGGUCCAGCGGUAAGGAUUCCUGGCUUUCAUUCAGGCGGUCUGGAUUCGACUCCCGAUGCCGGAG